ACUCCUACGGGAGGCAGCAGUGAGGAAUAUUGGUCAAUGGGCGAGAGCCUGAACCAGCCAUGCCGCGUGAAGGAUGACUGCCCUAUGGGUUGUAAACUUCUUUUAUACAAGAGCAAUAAGGCAUACGUGUAUGCUGAUGAGAGUACUGUAUGAAUAAGCACCGGCUAACUCCGUGCCAGCAGCCGCGGUAAUACGGAGGGUGCAAGCGUUAUCCGGAUUUAUUGGGUUUAAAGGGUGCGUAGGCGGUAGAUUAAGUCAGCGGUGAAAUACCAGUGCUCAACACUGGGACUGCCAUUGAUACUGGUUUACUUGAAUUUGUUAGAGGAUGGCGGAAUGUGUAGUGUAGCGGUGAAAUGCUUAGAUAUUACACAGAACACCAAUUGCGAAGGCAGCUGUCCAUGAC
rnacentral:rRNA from 1 species